AGAUUGAACGCUGGCGGCAUGCCUAACACAUGCAAGUCGAACGGGAGUAGCAAUACUCUAGUGGCGGACGGGUGAGGAAUACGUAGGAAUUUGCCCUUAAGUGGGGGAUAACCCGGGGAAACCCGGAUUAAUACCGCAUGACCUCGAAAGAGCAAAGUGGGGGAUCGCAAGACCUCACGCUUUUGGAGAAGCCUACGUCGGAUUAGCUAGUUGGUGAGGUAAUGGCUCACCAAGGCGACGAUCCGUAACUGGUCUGAGAGGAUGAUCAGUCACACCGGAACUGAGACACGGUCCGGACUCCUACGGGAGGCAGCAGUGGGAAUAUGGACAAUGGGCGCAAGCCUGAUCCAGCAAUGCCGCGUGUGUCGAAGAAGGCCUUCGGUUGGUUAAACGCUAACGUUUAAGUUAGGGAAAGAAAAAACGUACGACUACUAACAACAGUGAGUCUUGACGGUACCGAACGAGAAUAAGCACCGGACUAACUCUGUGCCUAGCCAGCCGACGUAACUCG
rnacentral:rRNA from 1 species